rnacentral:rRNA from 3 species
AGACCCGAAACCCGGUGAUCUAGCCAUGGGCAGGUUGAAGGUUGGGUAACACUAACUGGAGGACCGAACCGACUAAUGUUGAAAAAUUAGCGGAUGACCUGUGGCUGGGGGUGAAAGGCCAAUCAAACCGGGAGAUAGCUGGUUCUCCCCGAAAGCUAUUUAGGUAGCGCCUCGUGAAUUCAUCUCCGGGGGUAGAGCACUGUUUCGGCUAGGGGGCCAUCCCGGCUUACCAACCCGAUGCAAACUGCGAAUACCGGAGAAUGUUAUCACGGGAGACACACGGCGGGUGCUAACGUCCGUCGUGAAGAGGGAAACAACCCAGACCGCCAGCUAAGGUCCCAAAGUCAUGGUUAAGUGGGAAACGAUGUGGGAAGGCCCAGACAGCCAGGAUGUUGGCUUAGAAGCAGCCAUCAUUUAAAGAAAGCGUAAUAGCUCACUGGUCGAGUCGGCCUGCGCGGAAGAUGUAACGGGGCUAAACCAUGCACCGAAGCUGCGGCAGCGACACUCAGGUGUUGUUGGGU